AUUGAACGCUGGCGGAAUGCUUUACACAUGCAAGUCGAACGGCAGCACGGACUUCGGUCUGGUGGCGAGUGGCGAACGGGUGAGUAACAUAUCGGAACGUAUCCAAUAAUGGGGGAUAACUAAUCGAAAGGUUGGCUAAUACCGCAUACGCCCUACGGGGGAAAGCUAGGGACCUUCGGGCCUGGCGUUAAUGGAGCGGCCGAUAUCUGAUUAGCUAGUUGGUGGGGUAAAGGCCCACCAAGGCGACGAUCAGUAGCUGGUCUGAGAGGACGACCAGCCACACUGGAACUGAGACACGGUCCAGACUCCUACGGGAGGCAGCAGUGGGGAAUUUUGGACAAUGGGCGCAAGCCUGAUCCAGCCAUUCCGCGUGAGUGAAGAAGGCCUUCGGGUUGUAAAGCUCUUUCGCAAGGGAAGAAAACUUACCCUCUAACAUAGGGUGAGGUUGACGGUACCUUGAUAAGAAGCACCGGCUAACUACGUGCCAGCCGCCGCGGUAAUAC
rnacentral:rRNA from 1 species